rnacentral:rRNA from 1 species
UACAGGGGGUGCAAGCGUUGCUCGGAAUUACUGGGCGUAAAGCGUGCGCAGGCGGUCCGUAAAGUCGGGGGUGAAAACCCGGGGCUCAACCCCGGAAUUGCCUCCGAAACUGCCGGACUUGAGUACGAGAGAGGGUCGCGGAAUUCUUGGUGUAGAGGUGAAAUUCGUAGAUAUCAGGAAGAACACCAGUGGCGAAAGCGGCGACCUGGCUCGAUACUGACGCUCAUGCACGAAAGCGUGGGGAGCAAACAGG